rnacentral:rRNA from 1 species
AUUGAACGCUGGCGGAAUGCUUUACACAUGCAAGUCGAACGGCAGCACGGGUGCUUGCACCUGGUGGCGAGUGGCGAACGGGUGAGUAAUGCACCGGAACGUAUCCAAUAAUGGGGGGAUAACGCACCGAAAGGUGUGCUAAUACCGCAUACGCCCUGAGGGGGAAAGCGGGGGAUCGUAAGACCUCGCGUUAAUGGAGCGGCCGAUGCCGGAUUAGCUAGUUGGUGAGGUAAAGGCUCACCAAGGCGACGAUCCGUAGCUGGUCUGAGAGGACGACCAGCCACACUGGAACUGAGACACGGUCCAGACUCCUACGGGAGGCAGCAGUGGGAAUUUUGGACAAUGGGCGCAAGCCUGAUCCAGCCAUUCCGCGUGAGUGAAGAAGGCC